rnacentral:rRNA from 1 species
CUACGGGACGCUGCAGUGAGGAAUAUUGGUCAAUGGGCGCGAGCCUGAACCAGCCAUCCCGCGUGCAGGAUGACGGCCCUAUGGGUUGUAAACUGCUUUUCUAUGCCAAGAAACCCUGUUACGAGUAACAGGUUGCCGGUAGCAUAGGAAUAAGCAUCGGCUAACUCCGUGCCAGGCAGCCGCGGUAAUACGGAGGAUGCAAGCGUUAUCCGGAUUCAUUGGGUUUAAAGGGUGCGCAGGUGGGCUUGUAAGUCAGUGGUGAAAUGCUGCCGCUUAACGGUAGAACUGCCAUUGAUACUGCGAGUCUUGAGUAUGGUUGAGGUAGGCGGAAUGUGUUGUGUAGCGGUGAAAUGCAUAGAUAUGACACAGAACGCCAAUUGCGAAGGCAGCUUACUAAGCCAUUACUGACGCUGAGGCACGAAAGCGUGGGGAGCGAACAGGAUUAGAUACCCUUGUAGUC